rnacentral:rRNA from 1 species
UGGUGGAGUGAUUUGUCUGGUUAAUUCCGUUAACGAACGAGACCUCAGCCUGCUAAAUAGCUGGGCGGAGCUUCGGCUCCGAUUCUGGUCUUCUUAGAGGGACUUUUGGUGCGUAGCCAAAGGAAGUUUGAGGCAAUAACA